GCCACCUCCCAUGCGCUUGUCCUCCUCAUCCUUAUCUCCUCUGUGUCUUGGCUCAUUCCCUCACGCUCGUGCAUACAAGCAGCAACAGCAGAAGCUCCCUCUCUGCUCCUUUGCCAUUCACAGUGGCACUUCAUCUUCCUCCCGAGCAGCUCUUCCUCACUGCUCUCUCAGUUCUAUCUUCUCCCUCCUGUUGUUUGUUGCACUCUUCUCUCUCUCUCACUGCUCUCUCUCCUUGCGUGGUCUUCACUGAGAGCACAACACAGAAGCAGCAGCUCAGCUCUUGCUCUCUUUCAAUCGUAGCUAGCAGCACACCUUUUACUCUGUCUCGCUCUUCCUUCCACUUACGCACACAAGCAGCAACUUGAGCUUUCCCUCUGCUCCUCUUCCAUUCCAAGCAGCACGCCAUCUGCCUCCCGAUGCGCUCCUCCCGCGCAUGUGCUUGCCUUGCUCAGCCUCUCUAUCGCCGAGCUGCUGUAUGGAGCACCCCUGGGGCCCCUCCGUUGUCUGCCAUCGCGCUCCAGCGAGCCUUGCCACGCCUGCCCUCCCUGCUGUCGUCCGAGUUGGCGGCCAUGUGCCAGGCUAAGCCCGAGAGCUGCCGUCACAGGUGGAUGCCGUCGAGUUCCUGCUGGCCGCCAUGUCGUGUUCUUACUGCUGGUGGCCGGGCUUCGCUACGCGUCAACAAGUUCUAGCCACCCAGCGUGGUUCACCACCGAACUUCUUGCUGCCGACCAGCACCGACACGCCAACGCCGUCAGGCCCUUCUCCAGCUGCAAUGAGCAACUCCGACGCCGCUCAUCCCUGUGGCCUAAUCACAGCACCUGCACGGCCGCUCAUCCCCGUGGCCUAAUCACAACACCUGCACGCAGCCUCAUCUUUCUUAGCCCUGUGAAAUAUUUUAUGUUCAUUGCUGUGGAUUUUUUUGGAUGGAUUUAUUUGCAUCUUUCGGUGUUUAUCGAUCGAGUAUUUGGCGUGUACGUAAGUGCGAUCAAUGAUGAAUGAUAGAGAUAAAAAAUAUGACAAAGAAAUAAUGCCAGGAAAUCAUGGAAGCGAUGAUAUCGGGUCUUUCUAGGAUUCAACUCCCAGUCAGUUGCCUGUGGGCGGGUUGAGGCACACCUGCUGGAUAUUUGAAUCUAUUUCAUUGUAUUUUUCCACUGCAUAUCUUUUAUAUUGUAGACCGGUUGGUCCUAAUGUUGUAAAUUUAAUCCAAUUAAACAUAUUCACCUUGUAAAAUGUAUGGAUGUGAUAUCACUGUUGUAACCGUGUGUACUUGCUACUGAUUAUGGGACAAGUAUAGUGGAAACAUAGAGUUUCAGGUAAUCUAAUUACC